UGGGAGAUAUUGCACAAUGGGCGAAAGCCUGAUGCAGCGACGCCGCGUGGGGGAUGAAGGCUUUCGGGUUGUAAACCUCUUUCGCUAUCGAACAAGGCCCGCUUAGGGUGGGUUGAGGGUAGGUGGAGAAGAAGCGCCGGCUAACUACGUGCCAGCAGCCGCGGUAAUACGUAGGGCGCGAGCGUUGUCCGGAAUUAUUGGGCGUAAAGGGCUUGUAGGCGGCUUGUUGCGCCUGCUGUGAAAACGCGGGGCUUAACUUCGCGCGUGCAGUGGGUACGGGCAGGCUUGAGUGUGGUAGGGGUGACUGGAAUUCCAGGUGUAGCGGUGGAAUGCGCAGAUAUCUGGAGGAACACCGAUGGCGAAGGCAGGUCACUGGGCCAUUACUGACGCUGAGGAGCGAAAGCAUGGGUAGCGAACAGG
rnacentral:rRNA from 1 species